UGGGGAAUUACACAUUCCAGAGGAAACUUAUACCUAUGCAGUAUUUCCAUUUAUACUGGUCAUGGUCCAGGCCCACCUUUAGCUCAAACUGUUUUCCUCAAUCCUAUUCCCCAGUACUUGGCAGGGAAGCCACUGUAGCUGAUCCAAUGGUCUGACCAUUGACUGGAUGAAGGAUUAGAAUCUAACCCAAAGAGAACUCAUCUCAAGGCUGGCAGCUUCCCAGGAGGAGGUGUGGUUCAAAUGGCUAUCUAUGCUCAAUGGAAAUGAAGGUAUUUAGCCAAACUUGUCAAUUUCACUUCCUCCAGAAUUUUCCCAGGAAGACAGAGUGAGUAGUUGGUCAGAUGCAAGAGAAGAAUGGAUAGAUCCACAAAAAGCAGCCAAAAUUCCAUGAAAUAAAGUUUGCAUUGACCAUGAUAAACAGAGAAAGCAAACAUCCAGGCCUAUCUUACACACUGCCAAGUUUUCUAGUCCUAAAUCCACUAUGUAAAUUCUAAUCACCACCUCCCCUCAUUCUUAAAGAAGCUCAAGUAAUUUUCUGUUACUUGUAAGCAAAGAACACCCACCAUCCUUCCUAUCCUUCAUUAUCCCCCACUGCACUAUCAUACAGCGUCUCUGCCCAGAGGUCAUGCCCAUAUUUAAAUAUCUCCAGUAGAAAUUUACCACUCGAGUUAUCCCAGCAUAUUGCUCUGUAAUUAUAUUAUAAAGCCAUUUCUUGCAGUGAGUAAACUUUUUAUUCCCCUGUAUCUAUGUUUUCUAACUAUUUAAAGCUUCAUGAGUCUGUUCAUCAUUCUGAUUACUCUCUUCUGAAAAUGUUGCAACAUGUUUGUAAAUUUCCCAAAUUGUGGCUUCCAUCGCUGAAAAUAGAUGGCCUAGUCUACCACUUUCCUUGUUCUGUGUAGUAUAUUUCAAGUACUCUUGGUUAAGACUUUGUCAAUGAAAUUGUUGAAUCUAUUUAAACUCAUUGUUAACCAAAAUAAUAAAACUUAUUUUGAAAUGAAUUUCAGAUAACCAGCAUGUCCCCCCCUCCCCCCGCCAUGGACCUAUGUAGUUGGUUUUUAGAGCCAGGAUCAGGUUGUUAUGAGUUAAAUUGUAUCUUCGCUAGGUUACAUUUUUAUCAAUUUCCAGUUUUCAAUCAAAUGCCCGUGACCACCCAUUCCAGCCUGUAUAUUGCUGUAGCAAAUUCAUCAUUUCAUUCAUUUGAUGCAUUAUUUAUAUCACUUAAUCAAGUUAUUUAUUCUUUAGUGAAGGUUGACUUCAAAGUGCAGAGCUGAUAUAUCUUAUUUUCAGAACCUGGAUAGUACUAUAAUGAAAAGCUUUAUUUGAAACUAGUAAUGAUAAAAAAAAUGAAUAUUGUGAGCAUAUUCCGUGGGUCCCACACUGUUUUCCUGAUCAAUGCCUAAGAGUUUACAGAUACAUGACAGAAGUGGGUUAUGCAUUGGGGCCUCAUACAUUCUUUCUCCUCAUAUGGAGGAAAAGUGAAAAAUCCUCUUGAAAUAUGAGUGGAUAAAUUUUACCUUCAACUGUUAGUAUUUUGGAUGUCCUUUACAUCUAUUUAAAAUAUUUCUAGUAAACAUUUGUAAAACAGUACCUGUCACAAGUGGUUGAAAGGAUCAUUUGGCUUGAAUCUUCUUGAAUGUUUCAAAAUUCUCAGAUUUAGACAUUAACUGUAAAUGAAGUUGUAUAUACAGCUAUAGAGAUAUAAUAAAGAAAUUAAAUUAUGUCACUCACAAUAAAUUUUAAAAUUAUGUCCCAUUAAAACACCACCUCAUUUUCAUGCAUUAGGAAUAAACAUAUUUUAAUAUAUCCUAUAAAUAUUGUAUGAAUCACAGAAAGAUAAUGCACUAUAUUUUGGCAUUAAGGGCAAAGCAUUAAUUUGUUAAAUGGAAAUAUUUAAAAUUGCAUCACAACUUUAUAUCAUCCUGUUCCAUAAUUUCUUUAUUUUUUCCAAUAUUCUGGUUGCAUUAAUGAAUGGAGAUGAGCCAGAUCAUUCUCAGUCCACAGAGGCCCUAGAGGCAAAUGAGCAUCAUAAUCUCAUUACUGAAAUAUUCUCCUAAUGGCCUUUAUUUCUGGCCACAUUAAAUCUAUUCUUACUUAACAACAAGGCUUUUUACAAGCUGAUUCCUCUUGAGAUUGUUUCUUCCAUUUGGUACAUUUUUAAUGAGCAGCAGUAAUUGUAUGAAUCAGUGUGUUAAGUUUAACAAAGAAAAACAUCACCAACAGAACAAAAUCAAUGUGAUCCUUUCCCUCAAAGAACUUACCAUUCCCAUAGAUAAGUCCACAAUUACCAACAGUAGAAAGUAAAGGAUUGGGUGUUGUAUUUUAGGACUAAAGAAAAUUACUCGAAACCAGAGAGAAGGAGAUAUAAAUCAGGUUAGGAAAUUUGGAAAAUGUUGGCUAUCUCCAUAUUUCUAUAUUGUGGACAAUUCUGGCUCUAGUCAUAAAGUUCUUUUUGAUCCCUUUGCUCCUAUUUCCUGAUUUUAACCCUACUUGCAUUCUUGGUGAGAAAGAAUAUUUCUGGCACACAUCAUGCAUGAGAAAGCAAUGCCCCAGCUGAGAGAGGAUACAUAGUCACAGUUGUUGCUAACACUUCUGCUGCCAAAAUUCCACCCCACUCUUUGCUCCAGUUCUGCGAAUUCUUGAGCUGAUGUAGUCAAGAGUAUUAUAGUGCCAGGUCUCUAAUCUUCCUAACCAGCCCAUUUGAGGGGUAUACAAUAUUCUUCCUCUAGGUUUAAUUCAACUGAUACAGAGCUGAAAUAUUGCAAAUGAAACUUCAUUAUAACAAACAAGAAAAAUCAGCAUAGGUAAUGAGCACUAACUUAUUUCAGUGUAACCAUCAUAGAUUACCUUAACUGAAAGGAUCUGAAGGGCACAGGUACACAAUUUCAUUUCUUCAACUCUGUCACCGUGAAUGUGCUUCCUUACCCAAAAAUGUGGGCAUAUUUAUUAAUGAAUGAUAAAAACUGGUACUCUUUGAUUAUAAAUCUCAACUUUCUCACCUUUGUAAUGAGUUAUGUUCUUCACAUUGUAGUGGACACAUAGUGACUAAGUUGUAAUAGCCAUUCACCUCCAGCUUCUGGAGCUUGCAAAGUGGUUCCAAUUUUACAAAGUGUAUUUUGUGAGCUGCAAACAUUAAGGAUAAAACUUGAAUCUGGAUUCCCAAUAGAAAGAAUUAUUUCCAUAGAGACAAAAUUGAAUUGUCUAUCACAUAUGCAGAGAGGACAGGCAGUAGAGUAGAAGAAGCUAAGCAUACACUCAAGACAGAGUCAGAGCUGCUGUUUUGCUGGGUAAGUUCUCAGGAUAAUGAUCAAAGACUAAGGAUUUCUGUGAUGAGUGAUACAUGUCCUGAAACAAGGCAUAGACAACCAGUCCUUUCUAGGCACCUAAGGAUCUAAGGAUAAGACCAACAGAGGACACACAGAAGAGGACCCACAUCAUAUUAAAGAGGGCCUCUUCCCCGGCCACAUUAGCCAAGAUUUCUUACCAGUUCAUUAGCAAGGCAAAACUAAAAAUUAAAAAAUCUAACAAUUGAUAGUUAAUUAUAUACUCAGGUAAUGGUAAACUAUAUAUGUGUGUAUAUGUAUGUCUGUGUACACACACACACACACACACACACACACACACACAGGGAGAGUUUAAUUAGGCACAAUAAAUCCUCCUAUUACUUCCACAAGGAAUAAUGUGGAAGAACCAUAUUAGGUGCUAUAAUACAGAAAUAUCUGAAUUGAAUAAAUCUUAUUUGACUAUUAGAAUCAUAGUUAGUACCCAGAAUAAGUAUAUUAAUAAGUAUUAGAUUUGUCUAUAAGUGACAAAUACCAAAUAACAGCACUUUAAAUACGAUCAAAGUUAAUUUCCAUCUCACAUCACCUGAACGAUCCAGCUCUGAUAUGAUGAGCAGGGACCCAGAUCCUUCCUAUCUUGUUACUUAGCCAUCUGUAAUAUGACGUUUCCAACAGGUAGCUGGUCCAGAAUAAAGUUCCAGCUUCAUCCAGUGUGUCUCUGUACUCCAGCCAGCAGAAAGGAGCAAAAGAGAGGUAAAGGUACUACCCUUCUCUUUAAGAACUUAAAUUCCACCUACAUUCUUGAUCAUAGCUUAGCCACAACCAGUUGCAAGUGAAAACAAAUGUUAUUCUUCUUUCUAAUGGGCAUGGUCCAGACAAAAGUCAGAGACUAUCAUGGUGGAAGAAUGGAGAAUGGGUAUUUAGAGGCAAAUAGUAGUUUCUGCUGCAAUAGACAAAAUUCCCUCUACCCUAUACAAUUUUGGCCUAACCAAACCAGUUAUUCUUCUAUUUGGAUAUGGUAGCAGUAAACAUUUAUUGAAAACAUAUGCUGUACCAAGCAAUUAACUAAAAUCUUUUAAAAUAGUGUUAUAGGUUGAAUUAUGUCCCUCAAUUAGGAUAUGUUGUGGAUAUAGUAUGUGACCUUAUUUGGAAACAGGGUCUUUCCAGGUGUAGUCAAGUUAAGAUGAGGUCAUUAAGAUGGACCCUACACCAAUAUGGUUGGUGUCCUUAUGAAAAGGUGAACUUGGACAAAGACACAGACACACACAGAGGAAAGAGUAAGAGUCACAGAGAGAACACCACAUGAAGAUGCAGCACUGAUGUGAUGCAUCUUCAAGCCAAGGAACACCAAAGAUUGUCAUCAAACCACAAGAAGCUCUGAAAAGGCAAGAAAGAAUUGCCCUACGUGUUUCAGAGGGAGCAUGGCUCUGACAAUACUAGAUUUUAGACUUCUAUCCUCCAGAACUGUGAAUAUAAAUUUCUGUUGUUUUAAGUCACCCAGUUUAUGGUAUUUAUUACAGAAUCCUUUGGAAACUAACACAAAUAGUUUAUAUCAUUUAAUUCCUACAACUAUUAUGUUAUGAAAGAGGUACUGUUAUUCUUCCCUUUUUGCAAAUAACGAACUUAAGGCUCAAAAAAUCAAGCAACUAGCCAAGAUUCCUUGAGCUUUGAAUGCCCCUAGGUUUUUCAGAUUCCAGCCCCUCAGCUCAUAAUCUGCUAUACUAACUAAAGGAUUAACCAAAAAUUGUUUUUUAAAUCAUCCAUCCCUCCUCAGCUUGGACUCUGCUAGAAAAAACUAUGAAGUGAUAGGCAAAUAUUAAGUGGUAUUAUUAUCCCCCAGGUACCUUUGUAGCAUGAUGUUGUAACUUAUCCUUCAAAUUGGGACACUUUUGAGAAUGAAAAUGAUGCUAUUCAUAAUUACAGUAGAACAAGAAGCCUAAAUCAGAACUAUCUUGGGCAAAGCAAGGCUUACUGUUACACUAAUUUUAACUCACUCCUG
rnacentral:lncRNA from 1 species